CAGUUUUGGCGGAGCCAUCCUUGGGAUACCACCCUUGUAGUACUGGGACUCUAACCAUAGGCCAUGAAUCUGGUCUUGGGACACUGUCAGGUGGGCAGUUUGACUGGGGCGGUCGCCUCCCAAAAGGUAACGGAGGCGCUCAAAGGUUCUCUCAGUACGGUCGGAAAUCGUACGUAGAGUGUAAAGGCAAAAGAGAGCUUGAUUGCAAGACAUACAGGUCGAGCAAGGAUGAAAAUCGGACUUAGUGAUCCGGUGGUUCUGCGUGGAAGGGCCAUCGCUCAACGGAUAAAAGCUACCCUGGGGAUAACAGGCUUAUCUCCCCCAAGAGUCCACAUCGACGGGGAGGUUUGGCACCUCGAUGUCGGCUCAUCACAUCCUGGGGCUGUAGUAGGUCCCAAGGGUUGGGCUGUUCGCCCAUUAAAGUGGUACGCGAGCUGGGUUCAGAACGUCGUGAGACAGUUCGGUCCCUAUCCGUCGCAGGCGUAGGAAAUUUGAGAAGACCUGUCCUUAGUACGAGAGGACCGGGAUGGACGUACCUCUGGUGUACCAGUUGUCCUGCCAAGGGCAUGGCUGGGUAGCUAUGUACGGAAUGGAUAAGCGCUGAAAGCAUCUAAGCGCGAAGCCAACUUCAAGAUAAGAUUUCCCACCGCAAGGGUAAGACCCCAGAAAGACUAUCUGGUUG
rnacentral:rRNA from 1 species